GUCUGAUGUGCAAAUUUUCGUUUCAUUGCUGUUGGAUCAGUAUGUAUCUUUCGUAAGCCAGUAAUCUAUGGAUCGAAACACAGAUAGAAAUACGAUCAAUCGUAUCAACAUUUAUCCAAAAUUUAAAUUUCCAUCUUUGGUUAACCAUUUAUCUUGUAACAUCGAGUCAAGUCUUGAAUAUCUCUACCUUGAAUUAUGUCAAGGUUUGAAUAUUUUAAAAAAGAUACGCUGUUAAAGAUUGCAAUAAUUAAUUGUUUACUUGAGUAUUUAUUAAAAAGAAGGUAAGGCAAGGUGUUGAAGGUGCUUCGAAAUUUCGAAAAUCGAAAUUUCUAUUUCUCGUUAAAGGGGGUAAGUUAAAAAGAAUAGCCAUGAAAAAUUAACGAAGCAAAAAUUAGUCAAUGCCCUAGAUAGUUGGAUCAAGCUUGUCGAUGGCUAUAUCCGAUAGGUCAGAGGAUUCUCUUCCCGAGAGAUCCGGAAAUGGAAACGAUGCCAUAUUUUCAUGCGAUAUUUACGUUUUUGUGCUGCACCACCUACCGAAGGUAUUUUCAGGGACUGUUUGAUUUGUUUUACACUGGAAUGAUUGAAUAUGUGCAGUGAUAAUUGCUACAAUGAGCAACCUGUAUAUGAGAAACUGUAAAACUGCCCCUCAAUUUCAUGAGCUUGUUACGAAUGAAUCGAUGAAUGUUACGUGUUCACCGUCGCAAUUUUAGGAUAAAACAUCGCUCUAUAAACAUGGUAGAUAACGAUGAACGUGCCAGGUGCAUCUCGAAGCGUCAAGGAUCAAAGGUCAAAUGUUCUACGUACAUACACCGAAGAUAUACGAUACUAGGAAGUAGGGCCAUUUCAAUUUCAAUCUGUCUUGUUGACGGUAUACUUUUUGUUAAAAUAUAAAUUGACUGGAGAGUCAAUUACCACUUUCUCCUGAGAAUUUUUCUUCUAUCGUUUUAUCACACGAGGGAACCAUCUAACGAUCUACACGAUGACUUACAGUCAAGUUAAAACCGGAAUUUGGUCGACAUGAAAGAUCGUAUCGAAAAGUUUUUUGUUAAAAAUCCUUCCGGAGGAAAAGGUUCUGGAGGAAUGGAAUAUUCAAGUUGCGUGAAGGAUGGAGAAUGGUUGCGGAACAAAGUGGUCCAUAUAUAAUUCAGUAAAUGUAUAUCGAAUCGAAAUGUAAAUCGGAAAGAACUUUCCGGUCGACCCAAUACUAUUUCCAAUAUAUGUAUCAGGAAUUUUCUGAAUUUUCCACUCGUCCAUUUCUAUACUUAUGGUUAAGAUUGAAAAUAUUCUGUUCGAUAGCUUAAUAUCAGGAUCAAGCAUCCUUUAUUUUACACGUGCAAAUUUUAUGAAUCUAAAUAAAGUAGUUGUAUUUUUAUCAUAAAUUAUUAAUUCUCCAAUGAAAUGAAAUCACUAAAAAUUCAACUCUAUUUUAUAUUUAUUAUAUUUAUAUUUAUUAUUUAUUUUUAUUAUCAAUGUUACUCGUAUGUUAUUAUCAUCUAUAUGUACGUACUUACAUACAGAAAUAUUUGAUAUCUUUUCGAAAAAUUUAUUGCAUUUUCUUAUACCUCGAUCAAAAAUCAACUAUCGUUUAUGUGUUGCAUGCAAUCGCUAU